rnacentral:tRNA from 1 species
AGGGGUGUAGCUCAGCUGGUAGAGCAAUGGUCUCCAAAACCAUUGGUCGAGGGUUCAAAUCCUUUCACCCCUGCCA